AGUUUGGAGCUUUGGAGCACGCUUUUGAGUUUGUUUCGCUUUAUUAAAUAUAUAUUUAUAUUUUUCUAAGAUUUAGUUUAAAAUAUUUAAUUUAGUUUAUGCACUGACGGAGGUCGGCGAACUUGAACAGAUGGGGUCAAGCGAAGAUUUUUCACGCUUGACUCUCAGACACGGAUUUAAAUGCAUGCCAGAUGACUCCAUAUCUGUGGAAGAUGUGUUGAUUGCAGUCAGUGAACAGGGUUUAGUGGUGGCUGGAUUAAGAGAUUAUGGUGAGCAAAGCACAUACUUUGCUAGGACGUGUGGGUGGAUGACACGGCUGGUCAGGUGACUCUGCAGCUGGAUUCAAACAGAUAGGGAAUAUUGGCGUGUGCUUCUUCACAACACGUGAUCACAGCAUGCAGGCAAAGCAGAAGCUGCAAGAGAAGAAACUAUCCACAAUGGACUCACGGAUUCAAUUAGCAAAUGUAAUAAUAGUUGUAAAUGCUGCUCUACACAGCAUUCACACCACAGGGUCGAGGUUGGGUUGAUUAGCCAUUUUCACUAGAGUAAAUGCAAUACUUGUUUAAAACUCCACAGACAUUUGUUUAGAACUAAAUCUGCCGGACUAGAAUGCAUGAUGAAUGUAAUGAACUGAAAUAGAUCUGACCUCCAAAUUAUGUCAAAUUAAUAGACAGCAAGGUCCCUUGUAAUGAUUACUUUUGACAUAAAUAACCAUGGCCAAGUUCUAGUCACAUACUAGCAUUGCUGUGAA